rnacentral:rRNA from 1 species
UACGGAGGGGGCUAGCGUUGUUCGGAAUUACUGGGCGUAAAGCGCACGUAGGCGGCUUUGUAAGUUAGAGGUGAAAGCCCGGGGCUCAACUCCGGAAUUGCCUUUAAGACUGCAUCGCUCGAAUUGUGGAGAGGUAAGUGGAAUUCCGAGUGUAGAGGUGAAAUUCGUAGAUAUUCGGAAGAACACCAGUGGCGAAGGCGACUUACUGGACACAUAUUGACGCUGAGGCACGAAAGCGUGGGUAGCAAACAGG